UAAUAUUUCGCAAUUAUUAUUUAUAGUUUUCAAGACUAAGAUUAUAUAUGUUUCAAAAAAAAAAGAUUAAUAUUAUAUAGAAUUUCAGCAGUUUAUAUGGUCGUUGUACUAUGUUUAAACAUGCACAACAAAGUUGACAAAAAAAACAUGCACAACAAUAUCAUCAUUUUGACAUGUGGCUGCAGGCUUUAAUAAUAUACUUCUUUGGUCAAGAUCAUACCUAUCAAUCUAUCAUUAAGAAAGAGAAAGGAAAAUAUAUCGUAUAAGCAAUAAUUUUAUUUGAACGUGUAACAAAAUUUCACGUUAACAAGUUCACAUGUGUUUUUUCUUGUAGGAAUGCGUUCUCCGUUCACAUAAAUAAUUAUUUUGGAGUAAACUAUGGUUACUUUUGUGAUUGUAUGCAGUUAAGUUAUAAAUAAUUCUUCAAGUCUUCAGUUCAGACUCAUUACCAAAGCCAUAUCUUCAAACAUUAUAAUUCUUUCUCAAAUACUGAAUAUAAGCAUAUAUAUCGCAUUCACAUAGGGUAUACUAGUAUUAUAGUUUACACGUUUACUUUCACUAGACGGAAACAAAAGGAUAUCGCGAGAUAAAUGAUUUUAGGAUUCUUUACUUCCAUGCAAAUAUUUAACAAGCUAACUAUGAGUUUUAUUUACUUUUGUAACGAUGACAAGAUCAAAAUAAGUUCUAAAGAAAGAAUUAUAUCGGCAACACUUUUUUAAUGUUAGGAAGUUUUAGGCAAAUUCUUUCAAAAAUGAAAUUUUCGGCAAAUUCUUUUUUUUUAAUGAUUUUUUUUGGUACACAAUGUAAUAAAGUAGAUCUAUGAUUCAGACAAGUAGCAAUCAAAGUUGUCAAAAUCAAACCAUUGAAGGAGUGCCAUUUGGCACCAUUGAGAGAGCCAAGAUAACGUGGCAAUCAAAAUGUGGUUGUGACUGAAUAUUGCGUCCGACAGAUGAUAGCACGUGUCGAGGUUCCCAUAACGAUAGCCGUUGUCGAGGUUCCCAUAACGAUAUUUUUCUGUCUUUUUGUUAAAGUUAACAGAGAACAUUGCAGUACGUGCAAAAAACAAAGGGUGGAGAUCGCUUUCUCUCUCAUCUCUGUUCCUUCUCUUGCAUCUUUUACCGAGAAGAUGAGAAAGCGGUUGAGUAACUUGAGUUAUAGUCGACGCCGAUUCCUUUUUCCGGCUUCGAUUUGGUAUAUAGCUACCGGAUCUGGUCCGGUUUAUGCCUCUCGAUGUUUUGGGCUAUUGACUCUGGGGAGAGGUGGUUCACAUAACACCAUCUUUGCUGGCUUUCGUCUCUGGGAAGAGAUUGGAGUUUUGGUUUCAAUCGUAGGCAGUUGCAAUUCCCUCUUCAAAUCGUAGAUCUGUCAAGGUUGGUUUGUCGUCUUGAGAUUGAGGGCUGUUCUGGUUAAGCGGCUUCUUCUCCAGUUUGGUUUGCUGAUGGCGGAGCUCCGGCGUGCAUGCUCUCUGACUCCGGAGGAAGCUUGUGCUUUCCAUUCGCGACGCGUGUUCAUUGGGCGCCGGGCGUCCGGACACGUGGAAGUGGAGUUGGCGUCUUCCCCUACAGUUUCUCUUGGGCUUGGGGCCCAGUUGUUGUGAUGUUUUGCGGCCUGCUGUUUAGGCCUUUCUCGUUUUGUUGUUGUUGUUGGGCUUUAUGAGCCUAGUCUUUUAAUAAAAUUCCAAUUUGGGAAAAAAUAAAAAACUGAGAACAUUGUAUCGGUAAAAUUAAGGUUAUGGAUAGGGAACAUUUGUAAGUGCUUAAUUGAAAGGCGUUUUUCGAAAACCGCUUUCAUUUACCAAUCAACGUUUUAGCUGUAAUUUGCAUUUUUUUUUAAAGAGUAACUGUUGCAUUUUUUAUUUUGACAACUUAAGAGUGCAUUGGUUCUUUUGGGAAAUUUGCACACACAUAUAUAACAAAUAACAAAAUUAAUUUUCUACAAAUAACAACUCUUAAGCUAUGAUAUUUAUGUAAUAAUUGCCAUAUUACCUUUACCACAUUUUAUUUGAACAUUUUUUUUCUUUGAUUUUUCUUCUUCUUACGAAUAUGUUUUUCCCUUCUACUUUUAUACUUUUAAUUGAUUUCAACUCAUGCUAUAACACUUAUUAAACUUUGUAUUUUACAUAUUAAAAACAUAGAUUUUUUUCUUCACAUAAAAUGUUUUGAAACUUUCAAAACAAAUUUAUAUUCUAUAAAAUUUAUAAGAUAUUUCAUUAAAGCGGUUUUAAAUCUAUACUAUCAUAAACAUAUAGUAUAAAUUCAUUUCUCACACACACACUCUCUCCUCUCCUUCCUCUCUCUCUCUCUCUCUCUCUCUCUCUCUCUCUCUCUCUCUCUCUCUCUCUCUCUCUCUCUCCCCGUCUCCCUCUCCCUCUCUCUCCCUCCCUCCCUCCCUCCCUUUCUCCACUACACAUUGUGUGGACAUUGCUUAUCUAUUCUAUAUACACAUCAGAAAUAGAAUAAUCUUUCUUAUCCGGUGUGUUGUGUUCAUGCUCACGCGCUGGAAAGGAAAAUAAUGUCCACUUAUGUAAUCAAUUGACAUAAUUACCAAGAGAUGGAUAUAUUAUUAAUUUUUUUUCUAUUAUGGUUAUCUCACAAAUUCAUCCUUUUUUUUUAAAAGAAGUUUCUAGCUGAAAAUGUAAUAAACAAAUAAACAGUAAGAGAGAGAAACAUAAAUAUAAAAUAAUCGCCCCUCAAAAAAGAUACUCUCCACUACACUUAAGAAACUAUGAAACCAUGUGUCUUCUUUUAAUUCACAUAGUUUUAUUAUACAUUUUAAAUUUAAUUACUUAAUCAAAUUAUAGAUAUAAUAGUAUGAGAGACUUAGUUUUAAGAAAAUGACCACUAAGAACAUCAGCAAUGCAUGUGUUCACACAUGUGUUCUUAGAUUAAUAAAAUAGAAAAACAGAGGAAAGAUGAGAGAGAUAGAAAAACAGAAGUGAAAAAUUGUUCAGCUGCUCUCAUACGAGAGACACAACUACUUUUAUGAGAGCUUUUUUUUUACAUGUCUUCUCUUAAUUGGUUUCUUUUUUAUUUGUAUUUAUAAUUUAAUUAAAAGUAAAAUAUACUAAUAUUUUAUAUCUAACGCUGAUGCUCUAAUAACUCUUGGACCGCAUUUUCGUAGUCCCUCACCCACUACCCAUCGAUUAAUAGAAUUCUGCCUUUUAUACAAUAAAUACCGUGUUUUCUGUAUAUUUCAUUUAUUUUCUGUUCAUUUGUAAUUUUUUUGCAAAAUUUUAUGUUCAUUUUCUAUUUCAUUUAAAUGGAUUAAAAAGAAUCUCCACUACCACUAGAUGUUUAACAAAGAACUAAUUAAUGCUUGAAAACCAUCACGUAACUAUUUUGAAGCAUUAAUUAGUUCUUUGUUAUAAUUAUAGUAUUAUGUAAUACUAACCAUAGUUGUCCAAAUAUUUUGAAUUUCUAUUUUAUUAAUUUAUAACUAUAUAAAAAAUAUUCAGAAUAUUAUAAUUAACAUAUAGGAACCGAAUAAUAUCCAACUCGACCCGAACCCGAACUCCAAUCCAACUCGAAAACCUGAAUAUCUAAACAAUUCUAUAUUAAAAAAAUGAACUUGAGUGGAUACAAGAAUUUGACCCAAUUUAAGUGGUUUCAAAGGAAUUUCAUAUCAAAAUAUAGUAAAGCCGAAUAGUUUUUCAUAGCAUAGUAAAAAAAGUAGAUAUCCACAAAAUCGAAUGAAAUAUAUAUAUAUAUAUAUAAACUUGAAUUUUUUAUUUUAAAUGAAUUUUAGUAUUUAAAUGAUAAAAUACAAAGUAGUUUGACAUUAUCAGUAAACAAACAAAUUUAAUUUCUAGUUGUAUCAAUAUAUUUAAUUUAUAUUAUUAUUUUUUCUUAUCAAAACCGUACUAUUUUUUUUUAUCAAAACCACAUUUGAUCCGCAAAAUGCAUGAACCGUUGUUGCACCGGACUGCACUUAAAAUCUGCACCGCUUAUUUUAUCAAAUCCGUUGUUACCAUUUGAACCCUAAAAAAAAAACUUGAAGCUAGAAAAGAAAUAAAUCUGAAUUAUAUUUUAGUUUUCGAUUUCCGACUUGAUAUGGAACUGAUAGUCUGUUUAACAAAGUCAUAAUUUUUGAACACCAAAGCUACAAAAAAUAUGGUUUCAACUCAUGUUAAAGGUGUUGUUUUAAUCAAGUAGCACACACCUUGGCUAACCAUUGGCAUCUCAAUUGAAGUCUUACACAAGUUGUACAUACCUUCUUAAGUGGUUAAUUAUACUAUGACCUUUUUUCCUCAAGUCAAGCUACGUAACAUAAUCCAGAGAUGAUGGUUAUACUAGUAAAGUUUUUUAUUUGACAAAAACGGGGUUAAACCUAGAUCUAUUAAAGAACCAGACCUGACCCUUGGGUGGGAGGUGCAACCCACAGAUGGACCCUCUUCCGAAUAUUCAAAUGAACCGUAAGCAAUGAGCUAAUAUUUGUGUGGCCGUAAAUGGAACUAAUGAUUUCACACUAGAAGGAAAUCGAUCUCUUACCUAGACCAACAUAGAAACUCCUCCAUGGUGGUUUAGAAACCUCUAAACCACCACAAUGUGGUUUACUAGUAAAUUUUUGCACUCUAAAAGUAGACCUGUCUGAUCCGAGUUUUGUCGGAUGUGGAAAAAUAAUUUAGCAACUGACUAUUGUUUUUGACCUUAAAGGAUUAUGAAUUUCCCCCCAGAACUUCUUGCAAUAAUAAAAAAAAUAAUAUAAGAUUGAUCCUUGCCAAAAAAAAAUGGUUAUGGUUACAUACAAGUCGGGUUUUAAUUAAUCUAUAUAAAACUAUUUUUAGUUCAGAACAGUGAUGAUUAUGAAUUUGGAAUAUAAUAAACUAAAACCAUUUUAUUUGUGAUUUUUAUUUAGAUUUAUAACAAUCUGAUAGUUUUUGUUCGUUUAAUUUAUACAAAUUUAGCUUAUCAUAAAAUGUAAAAAAAAUUUGUCUUUUUUGAUGAAAAAAAUUAUUUGUCUUAUUUUAUGUAUUUCGCAUAUUCUCUUAACAUAUUCGUUUUGCCGUAUAUACUUUAUUUGAAAGGUUAAAGCCAUAUUAGUUGUCCGUACAAUAUUCUUUGAAAAUUAGUUGGACCUAAGUUUAGAUGCUCCAAAUUAAACAAUAAAGGUUUGUGAAAAUAUGUAAAUAUUGUGUAUGUACACACACAUGUAUAUGUCUGAAGUUGAAAAAAAUUACCAACAACAUAUGCAUAUAGUACUUUUGCUGCUCGUUUGCUUAUUAAAAUAACCUUAACUGUCAACUGAAACUAAAAACAUGACUUAGCUCGAUUUCGUGAUAGAAGAAAAACUAUUUAAAUUUAUUGUUGUAUAAUGCACCUAUAACAUUUUCAACUUAUCUCUAUUUUUAAUUUUAAAUUUAUUUCUAAAAUAAAAAAAUAUUACAAAGAUAGAUAUGCUUCAAUGUAUUUCUAUGUUUAUAUUUUUUUCUAAACUAGUGCAACUCAAUUUGUUUUGUCAGUUAUCCAUUUAAAGUUUUAAACUAGAUCAAGUGUUGGUCAAAUGAGCUGAUUCUCCAAAGAGCACCUCCGUCUAUCCGUGUGCAAUCUCUAUGUGAGAAAAUAUAACCUCUCGUUCUUGCUUCUCUUGUGAUAUAUGGUGUUUUGACACUUUGUAUAUAUGUUUUCCAAUUCUUUUUCAAAUAUUUAUCGAGUAUUUCCAGUCUUUUUUGAGUUAUUACAAGUCUAGAGUAGGUUGAAAAGCUUUUGAAGAGACUUAUGUAUAAAAGAGUGAAACUUGGAGAAUUCCUGGCGGAGCGUCCGAUCUUAUGCGGACCAGCCGAUCUCAAUUGGAGUAGUCGCUCUGGCGAAUGGGAUUUUAAGGAAACUUCUAAGAAAUUUCGGGAUUUACCCUACUAAUUCCAGCUUUCCCUCUGAGCCGCUAUCGACUCUCAUAUAUUUUUUUUUCUCUUUUCCUCCAUUUUUAAGCUUGUUUUGUUUGAAAAACGAGAGUCUAGAAAUUUUUCAUAGUUGUGAUUUGCUACUUGCUAUCUUGUAAUGCAGAAAGUCAUCUCUCUCGAUUUAGAGAAAAAUUCCAUGAAGCCUAAUUCUUAGUUAUUUGCAAUUGUA